rnacentral:tRNA from 1 species
UCCCUGGUGGCUUAGAUGGUAAAGCGUCUUCCUCCAAUGUGGGAGACCCGGGUUUGAUCCCUGGGUCGGGAA